rnacentral:rRNA from 1 species
CGCAUCUGUGCAUGCAGCAUAUCAAUAAGCGGAGGAAAAGAAACUAACAAGGAUUCCCCUAGUAACGGCGAGUGAAGCGGGAAGAGCUCAAAUUUGAAAUCUUAAAGGGUUUCCCUUUACGAAUUGUAGUUUAAAGAAGUGUUUUCUGUUGAGGUUUUGGUAAAAGUUCUUUGGAAUAGGACAUCAUAGAGGGUGAGAAUCCCGUAUUUGACCUUUACUUUCAACUUUGUGAUACACUUUCAAAGAGUCGGAUUGUUUGGGAAUGCAGUCCAAAAUGGGUGGUAAAUUUCAUCUAAAGCUAAAUAUUGGCGAGAGACCGAUAGCGAACAAGUACCGUGAGGGAAAGAUGAAAAGAACUUUGAAAAGAGAGUUAAACAGUACGUGAAAUUGUCAAAAGGGAAGCGUUUGACACCAGUGUUGUUUUUCUGAAAAUCAAUUAAAGAACUGUUUAUGCUAAGCUGUUUAGACUUUAUCAGCUAACUGUUUAGUUUUGAGCUUUUCUUUAAUGCACUUUUCAGUUAACAAGUCAACAUCAAUUUCUUUUGCUGUAAAAAAGCUUGAGGAAGGUGGCUUGAGAUUCGUCUUAAGUGUUUAUAGCCUCUUGCCUAUGCAGUCGGAGAGAUUGAGGUCUGCAGCGUAGAUCCUUCGGGGCUAAAUGCAUUUGUGCUAAGUUAUAGCAUUUUAUAGACAACUUGUUGACUAUGAUUUGUCUUGUAGCUUACUCGCCUAUGUUAUUUUACCUACGCUUAGGAUGUUGAGCGCAUGUCUCUCUCU